rnacentral:rRNA from 1 species
AAGCGGGAAGCCUGCUUCGAGAUGAGUAUUCCCACCUCCUUGAGAGGGUAAGGCUCCCAGUAGACGACUGGGUUGAUAGGCCGGAUAUGGAAGCCCUGUAAGGGGUGGAGUUGACCGGUACUAAUAGGCCGAGGGCUUGUCCU